UUCACAUUCACAGCCACCCAAAUGAACACCAAACUCAACAGCACAAUAAACACCAAAAUUAACACCACCAUCUAAAGGACAAAUACUAAAUUCUCAUUAAUAUUGGUGAAUCAGAUUAUAGUGUCUUCCCACAUACAAAAGUGAAAAACACUACUUAGGACUACUAAUUCACCACUGCAACAUUCUUUCCUCAAUUUUACAAUCAUCCAACUGAACUCCAACUACACAUACACAACACACUGCACUUAAAAGAAUGAAUACUACACAUCACAAGUGGUAGGGAGGGAAACUAACAACAAAAUAACAGGACCAAGAGAAUUUAUGCUCUCCAAAAGAAGGGCAGUCACAACAAGACAGUGUAGCCACCACUUGCAGUUUGAUGUUUUCUCUCUGCAAGGCCGAGCAAGCUCCUCAACUACCACAGCACAAAUUUUUUAAAUUCUCCAACAGCUGCAGGUGACUUUUACCAAUUCUAUGGCAGCUCGAUCUCUCUCCACCUAAAUUAAUACCAUCUCCUAUGACAACUUCAAUUCCACUAGCAUCCAUUUCAUGAUAACGGGAUCGUGCAAUAACUCCUGAACAAAUCCACUAGCUACUUUUUUGUUUGAAGCAUUAGAUAAGUCAAGCAUAUUACCAAGAAGUAGCAGUUGUCGAGACGCAAAACGAUAAUUUGGUCCUGUAAAAAUCAAGUGGUAUUGUUCACAAUUGAGUGCGGUGCUCUGCCUAAAGGUGCUGAGUCCAGAAUAUCAAAAGGUGCUAACUUUUUCGAAGUCCAAAACAACCCACAUUCACACGUCAGGAAUUCAACUCCACAUCAGAACAACCCACCUUUGCAGGCCAGGAAUUCAAAUGGUGGUGCUCUGUGUGCUGACUUUUUCAACUCAGCUCCUUUCUGGUCUUCGAACUCGACUUCAAAGUGAAAACGAAAGAAGUUUUAGACAUUCAAAUUUUCACCGACGAUGGAAUCUGGACAUCGAACUCGAUUUUCACCUCCAAGGGUUUCCGUUGUUGGAAAGAUUUGGGGACAAUCUAUUUGAAGGAAGGGUCCAGAUUUGGGGAAUUGAAAUGAGGGUUCCCCUCUACCAUUAAAUAAUUGGGCCGGUCUAGUUUUGACCCAACUUGUUUUAAAAAUUUGAAAUCCCCACCUCCAAUUCCUUGUUUCAAAAUUCAAAAGAUUUUUAUUCAAAUUCUCG
rnacentral:lncRNA from 1 species